UACGAAGGGGGCUAGCGUUGCUCGGAAUCACUGGGCGUAAAGGGUGCGUAGGCGGGUCUUUAAGUCAGGGGUGAAAUCCUGGAGCUCAACUCCAGAACUGCCUUUGAUACUGAGGAUCUUGAGUACGGGAGAGGUGAGUGGAACUGCGAGUGUAGAGGUGAAAUUCGUAGAUAUUCGCAAGAACACCAGUGGCGAAGGCGGACUCACUGGCCCGUAACUGACGCUGAGGCACGAAAGCGUGGGAGCAA
rnacentral:rRNA from 1 species